UGCGUAGGCGGACCCGUAAGUCAGUGGUGAAAGUUUGCAGCUUAACUGUAAAAUUGCCAUUGAAACUACGGAUCUUGAGUGUAAAUGAGGUAGGCGGAAUGUGUUGUGUAGCGGUGAAAUGCUUAGAUAUAACACAGAACACCAAUUGCGAAGGCAGCUUACUAGGAUACAACUGACGCUGAGGCACGAAAGCGUGGGGAUCAAACAGGAUUAGAUACCCUGGUAGUCCACGCAGUAAACGAUGAAUACUAGCUGUAUGCGAUAUACUGUAUGUGGCAAAGCGAAAGCGUUAAGUAUUCCACCUGGGGAGUACGUUCGCAAGAAUGAA
rnacentral:rRNA from 1 species